rnacentral:rRNA from 1 species
UGGGGAAUAUUGCACAAUGGGCGCAAGCCUGAUGCAGCCAUGCCGCGUGUAUGAAGAAGGCCUUCGGGUUGUAAAGUACUUUCAGCGGGGAGGAAGGUGUUGAGGCUAAUAACCUCAGCAAUUGACGUUACCCGCAGAAGAAGCACCGGCUAACUCCGUGCCAGCAGCCGCGGUAAUACGGAGGGUGCAAGCGUUAAUCGGAAUUACUGGGCGUAAAGCGCACGCAGGCGGUCUGUCAAGUCGGAUGUGAAAUCCCCGGGCUCAACCUGGGAACUGCAUUCGAAACUGGCAGGCUAGAGUCUUGUAGAGGGGGGUAGAAUUCCAGGUGUAGCGGUGAAAUGCGUAGAGAUCUGGAGGAAUACCGGUGGCGAAGGCGGCCCCCUGGACAAAGACUGACGCUCAGGUACGAAAGCGUGGGGAGCAAACA